rnacentral:rRNA from 1 species
CCUCGGGGGGCUGCAGUGGGGAAUAUUGGACAAUGGGCGAAAGCCUGAUCCAGCCAUGCCGCGUGUGUGAAGAAGGCCUUCGGGUUGUAAAGCACUUUCAGUGGGGAAGAAAGCCUUGGGGCUAAUACCCUCGAGGAAGGACAUCACCCACAGAAGAAGCACCGGCUAACUCCGUGCCAGCAGCCGCGGUAAUACGGAGGGUGCGAGCGUUAAUCGGAAUUACUGGGCGUAAAGCGCGCGUAGGCGGUCUGAUAAGCCGGUUGUGAAAGCCCCGGGCUCAACCUGGGAACGGCAUCCGGAACUGUCAGGCUAGAGUGCAGGAGAGGAAGGUAGAAUUCCCGGUGUAGCGGUGAAAUGCGUAGAGAUCGGGAGGAAUACCAGUGGCGAAGGCGGCCUUCUGGACUGACACUGACGCUGAGGUGCGAAAGCGUGGGUAGCAAACAGGAUUAGAUACCCCGGUAGUC